AUUGAUUAGUAGUUACUGCUUGUCAAUGCUGAAGAGAUGUAAAGGGGGCACGGUUUAAGGGGGGCUGCGUGACGCGCGAUGCUUCUUGCUUUAACGGCUCGUGUGAUAGUUUAAAAUUUGAAAGAUGCUUUUAUGGCAACAGGUACUGUUAAGUGGUUCAACGAUUCCAAAGGCUUUGGCUUUAUCACUCCGGAUGACGGCGGUGAGGAUUUGUUUGCGCACUUCUCCGCAAUCCAGAUGAACGGCUUCAAGACCCUGAAAGAAGGUCAAAAAGUCCAGUUUGACGUCACGCAAGGCCCCAAGGGCAAGCAAGCUUCGAACAUCCAGCAAGGCUAAUUGGCCCUGCUGCUGAAAAGCCCCGCAUUGCGGGGCUUUUUUCA
rnacentral:sRNA from 1 species